AUUUAAAUUUUGAAUUUCCCUCUUCUUUUGGUUUUGUUGGGUCUUAUUUUUGCAUUCAAACAAGUGAAAAACUGAUCUGGCCCAGUUGUUGAAGCCCAUUUCGCUACCAAACAAAAAAAUACUUACCUGGAAAGGAAAAAAAAGAAGCACGCGUAAACAUUUUGGGCAAUUCCUUUCUCCCUCCACGCGACCCAACCAGAAAAACGCUAUCAAAUUGAUGCAAGCCUACAGAAAUCCUCUCUGACUCUUAUCAGUACACUCCCAGCGGAUUUUAUGGCUUUAAUCGAUCUCUCUUCAACGUUGAACAGAACAGAGCAACCAAAUUCAAAUUUCCCCUUCAAUCUCUCACUCUGUUCUUUAUCUUCUCUCAUUUUUUUUGGAUUGCUUCAUUUCUCCUUCUCUUUUGACAAAUCCAGCAACGGGAAAGAAUGAGGAAUCAUCGCACACGACGGAGGCGAGAAAGAAUGAGUAAUCAGCAUACACAAAGACGUUAAGGUGUUUUAGAAAAAAGGAACCUGUGAGUGGCCAUGGAUAGAGUUGUUCUCAAGACUAUUCAUACCUUUGACAUCAUCGGUACAAUUGAAGUGAAAUUUGUAAGCAUUCACAUCCACCAUUGAUAGUUUGCUUUGUAAGAGUCUUUAACAUAGUAAGCAAAGAGAGGGGUAUUAUGUAACUUUAGUAUAAUUAAGUUCCAAAUUUAUUUUAGAAAAAACAUGGGCGACGUCCCGGAAGGGUUAUGUUUAUGCAUAUAUCAACUUUGUUAAAUAUUAUAGAGGGAUGAUGUUAUGUAACUUUAUGAUAAUUAAGUUUCAAGUUUUAUAUCUAGAAAAAACACGGGAGACAUCCCAGAAAGGUUAUGUUUAUGCAUGUAUCGACUUUAUUAAUAUUUGAUUUGAUUGAAUAUAGUAAUUUGUACUU